UGGGGAAUAUUUGACAAUGGGCGAAAGCCUGAUCCAGCCAUGCCGCGUGUGUGAAGAAGGUCUUCGGAUUGUAAAGCACUUUAAGUUGGGAGGAAGGGCAGUAAGCGAAUACCUUGCUGUUUUUACGUUACCGACAGAAUAAGCACCGGCUAACUCUGUGCCAGCAGCCGCGGUAAUACAGAGGGUGCAAGCGUUAAUCGGAAUUACUGGGCGUAAAGCGCGCGUAGGUGGUUCGUUAAGUUGAAUGUGAAAGCCCCGGGCUCAACCUGGGAACUGCAUCCAAAACUGGCGAGCUAGAGUAGGGCAGAGGGUGGUGGAAUUUCCUGUGUAGCGGUGAAAUGCGUAGAUAUAGGAAGGAACACCAGUGGCGAAGGCGACCACCUGGGCUCAUAAUGACACUGAGGUGCGAAAGCGUGGGGAGCAAACAGG
rnacentral:rRNA from 1 species